GUAAGAAUUUGGGUUCCACUGAAUGGCAGGACUGAAAGAGCUGUAACACAAACAGGGAUGAAACACACCCUCUCACCCACAACUGCUCUCCAUCUUGCAGGCGAUAAGAAGGAGAGAAGACCUUUUGGAGAGCCCAGACCUAGAGGAUCCUAGAGCCAAGGUUGUGAUGCCCUCUUCAGGGCUCUGUGGUUCCUGGUGUUUCCAAGCUUUUAGGAACCAUCACAUUCCCCUUGUCCAGAUGCAGAUGCAGAUGCCUGCAGCAGAUGCCUCAUGCAGUACAUCUUGUCUAGCCACAACCUUCAGAAGCCUCAUGCAGUACAUCUUGUCCAGCCACAACCUUGCAUAGAGCCCACACCUGUGCUGGCACCUGGAGCUGGCCUGCCCUGCUGCAGCAGUGACAUGCCUGGCUGUAUGCAGUGGCCAGACCCUGUACUUGCUUGGCCACACACCUCUUGCCACACUGUGCCUAGCUCCACCUUGGCAGCUAAUAACUUGGCCUGCCACAGUCUCAUGGAUCUGGCAGAAGACAUGAAACUCCUGGGUCAGAAGAAAAGGAUUUUAUGACUCGCAGUACAACAGGCAGCUCUUACUUCGUCUUCACAUCAGUUACCUUUCUCAUCUAAGUCCCGCAAGGGUGAUGCUGAGGUCAUCCCAGAUGGAUGCUAAACACAAAACAU
rnacentral:lncRNA from 1 species